UCUCUUCCCUGCUCGAGGAAAAAGAAAGAAAAAAAAGGCGACUGAAUAAGCGGGCGUUUUUCCCAGCCGAAACCUUUGGAGCCUUUCCCUGCCCUUACCUGCUAUAAAAACAGAACAACGGAGACAAUAUUUCUUCGAAUGUAGCAUCCCAGGCUGCUACAGCGGGGUCGAGGAGGCAGCAGAGGAGCCGCCGAUCCGUUGACAAGCAGCAGUAUCGACAGCGGAGGUUAUCCCGGGCGGCUCAGUUGGCUCUCGCACGUCGGGCAGAGCGGACCUCCCUCGCGUGCGCUGCUGCUCCUGGAGGUGGGAGUGACGGCCAUCCCGAGCGCCUGGGCUGCACCACCGCGCUCCGCUUGAACAUUGAUGUCUCCACUGAACACAUGUCACAGCCCGCCAUGAGAGAACACUUAGAGAACCACAUGUGACACUCCGAAGUCGUGGAAAGACCGUGAAUUUCUGCUCUUGAGUGUUUCAUUGUCGGUUGGAAACUUCACGGGAGAAGAACGUGUCGUUAAUAUAUUUGAUUUGUAUUGCGACUGGUAUUGCCAAUACAGGAUGAAUUUUGAAAAAUAAGAGAACAUAUCACUUGAUAUGUUUUAGAGAAAAAAAGGAAAAAAUACUGAAAGAAGGAGAAGACUAGAGAGAAAAAGAAGAAGAAAGAAAAGAAA